AAAGAGAGAUAUCUCUUCGUGGAUAUUAAGAGUGCACUGUGAACUUACCAGUACCCUUUUAUUGUUCUUGUCAAAGAAUUUUAGAGGGAAACCUAAGUAUUCCACAAAAAAUACUCAACAAGAGCUCGACAAAAUAGAGUUCAAAUUCAAAGCUUUUUUGUUGUAUAGCAUUUCUUGCAUGGCACUUGGAAUAUGAUUUGUGCACAAUUCCAUAGAAUACGUGGCUAAGCAAAAUCCUUGUGACGAUGAUAUGAUUUUUUUUCUUCAGAGGAGAUUAAGUCUCAUGUUAGAUUUAUUUUUAUCCUUUGUUUAUUUUUUGUCUGCACACUCUGUCUCUGUGUCAGGGUUGUCUCAAUGUCGGUGUCAUGUUCGCAAGGCAUGUACGUGUGAAAAUGUUCGAGUGGGAAUAUUGGUUUUUGAUGACUAAUCAUGUUCUCAAAUAUGAAUUGGUUCUUUGUCCCAUCGGGACAUAUACACUCUAAUAAUAAUUAUUGCAAGGAUUCUGAUUUGGACAGUAUUUCUGGAACAACAACAAAAAGAGAGGUUAGGACCAAGGGUAAUUGUCUUUCGAAACCCUUUAACCUUAGUGAUGCUAAUGUGACAUUUUACCAAAGGCCUAUGCACCAUUAGAUCAUUAUAGAGGGGUCCGCUCUAGCUUCAUUCGCAGAGGUCCAAAUUGCAAUACGUAAAGUCCCCAUGCAAUCUCAAAAUGGGGGGUGGGGGGCAAGGUAUUUGCUUAUGUGCACCAGAUUCCUUCGAGUGUCAAGAUGUGGGUUAUGACCGUAAUAUGUUGUAUUGAAUGGACCUGCAUAUGACAAACCAGCUUCUAGAAGCCUGCCCUACAUAAAGGCCAUGAAGAACUAGAAAAUGUAAAAGAUUCAUUGGUAUUUCUGAAUUUAUUAUGCCCAAAUGUUUGGUAUUUAAGUAAUUCAAAUAUGAUUGGGACUGUCAUUUCAAACUAUUUUUAUGACACAACAAACCCUGGUGAACCCUGUGCAGACUUGAAUGCUAGAGCCCUGAUAUCAACAUGACCACAUGACGGAUGUGAAAUCCAUGAGUCUAGAUCCGUGGGACUUACGCCUCGCAAGUUUUGCCUAGGACUUCCUCAGAUCAAGGACGGCUUUAAUGAUGGACAGACUUUAGGGAAAGCAAGGAGUUCGCAAAGUUACCCAAAUAUGCCUUUUUAUAACAAACUUCAGCAUUGAUCCUUUUGCUUUCACGAUCAAAUUGAAUUUGUAGUUCCGAAAAGUUGAUUGCCAAUACUACUACAACUUCAUGAUAGCGUUAAUUACUGCUUUAUGUUAUUUUAGGUACCAAACUUGGUGUACAUUUUCACAGUUCCAAGUUCAGGCAUUUCCUUUCCAAAUAAUGAUAGCUCAGUAUUAGAGCAGUUGUCACAUAACCUGAAGGUCCUGGGUUCAAACUCAGAUUGAAGUGUUAUUGGCAUUUGGUAAAGCGGUUAUGCUCAUUAGCAAGUUCCUCAGCUAGGUCUCAAAGCUUCAGGUCCCUCUGGUUGCUUAUAAAUGCUAGUCGCUUAAAAUACAUCAUCAGUUAAUCUUUAUCAGUCAUCAUCAAUAUACAAAUUCAGCAUGGAUACCCUCCUUAGUGGAUCUGCAUGAACCACAGGAACUUCUGACUUCCACUUAAAUUACACUCAUGUUCUGGAGAUCUUAAGACAAGAUGGUCUUCGGAAGGUCCAGGUCCUUCAGCCAUGACUCUGCAGAUCACAUGGUCCCCGGUCGAUGACGUCCCCCACGGAAGAACCCGUUGUUAGGGGUCGUCUGAUCUCCCAACGAUCCCAAACAUCUAGUACCCCCUUCCCUCCCGCAGGGAUCAUAUUCUUAGUCUCUCAUUAAGCGGCUAGGUGGAUGUGACAUUUAAGAGAGAGGUUAUGUUAAUAGCAGCUCCGGCUGCCCCCUCUGGCGGUGGUUGACAUGACUGGUUACAUAUACCCCAGACUUUCCGCCUUGUGAAGGUUGUGGAAACAUGAAUGUAGUUUGGACACGAUAACGAUCUGGACAUUUAAUCCUCUCUGGUUAGGGAGGAUCUCGGGUUCAGUACUUGUCUCGCUUCCUGUGCUGCUGAGUGUGCCCCCAUCGUCAGUAAGGCCUUACGUGACCAGAAUAGUGUAUACAUGCAUGUAGUUCUUAGAAUUAAUAGGACAUGAAAUCUGAACCAGUUCAGAGAAAAUCUUGAAUGCUUCUGAAGUAUUACUGAUUGAUGUUGUAUUGACUUUGUUAGCAACUCCCUUCAAAAGAACAUAGGCAAUUGGAUCUAAUCAGAACAUA